rnacentral:rRNA from 1 species
UACGGGGGGGGGCAAGCGUUGUUCGGAAUUACUGGGCGUAAAGGGCGCGUAGGUGGUUCUGUAUGUCUACCGUGAAAGCGUACGGCUCAACCGUAUUUUGUCGGUAGAAACUGCAGGACUUGAGGCUGGGAGGGGCUGGUGGAAUUCCCUGUGUAGCGGUGAAAUGCGUAGAGAUGGGGGAGAACACUCGUGGCGAAGGCGGCCAGCUAGACCAGUUCUGACACUGAGGCGCGACAGCGUGGGGAGCAAACAGG